ensembl:lncRNA
GUUUUCUGUAUCGUGUACCAGGGACUUGUAAAUAAAAUGCCUUUUCUACUGUAAACGAUUACAGGUGUUGCUUGUGUUGAACGUGAAGGAAGCCUCAGCAGGGGCCGAGUCCGAGUGAGCGGCGCUGGCUUUCACCCCGGCUGAGUUCGAGUUCGCAGGACUGCUCCCCACGCCUAAGCGAGGAGAUUCGUCCCCUCCAGGAAUGCAGCGCCCGCUUCCCUCUCACUAGAGCUGAACCAGCGUGCGCGGAAGUGAAAAGGCAAAGGCCCCAAGGGCUGUGAGUUUCCCUUCCUGCUCCGCGCUCGCGCUUCCGGCCGCUGCCCUCAGCGGACGGGUCCUGCCCACCCUCCCCAGCUGCGGGGCGCGGCCCAGUGAGCCUUCCCCGAGUUCUCGCCCGAGAAGCGAGAAGCGGCCGCUGCCUUGGCGAUCGGAAGGCGGGGCCCGCUCAGCACCGUCCAGAACUCGCCUGGGCUCUGGCAGGCGGGGGGCGAGGCCGAGACUUGGCUGGGCUGUCCCUUCCGCCGGCCUCGGCUGGCAGCUCUUCCGGCGGCGGGCGAGGCAAGCGAGCUGCUGCUUCCUCUCACCGCCUUCCCACGCCCGCUCGCACCAGCAUCUCGCGGAUGGCGGAGGCCCGGCAGGAGAGGCUGUGGCAGGUUUAACUGGGCUCUGCAGCCCCCACCUCGCCGGUGCACGGCUUCCCCAGCGCAGGUCUGGGAUGGGGAAGGAAGGGAUCUAAAUGGCAGAUGCAGAGCUCACCAGGAGCUUUAAUCUGAGAAGAUCGUAGCACUUAAUGGGAUCGGUGGACAUUGCUGGAUUAUGAUUUUUUUUUUUUUUUUGGUACCGGGGGAUGGAACUCGGGUCCUUGCGCUUGCGCAGCAGGCGAUGAAACCACUGAGCGAAAUCCCCGGCCCUGGACUAUGAUUUUAACACUGGGAGAUCAAAUAAGCUUAAAAUCUGUUUGCCUCCUGAGUGCUGCGAUCACAGGUGUGGGCCACCACACCCAGCUAGUCUCUUUUCUGACACCGGAACGACCUUCGUACUUCAGCACAGGGGACUGCUGGAGGACUCAGACACCAGAGUUAGAGCUCCCGGGGUUCUGUCGCGCUGCGAGUCGGGUCACGGUGGUCACCACUGAGCUCGGAGGCCAGGACAUGCUGACUCUGGAAAACACAAUCGCCUUGGCCACCUCCCUUCCAGCUUCCUUCUAGUGUGCUGAGCACCAAGGCGUCAGUGAUUACUGCUCACCUCGGGGAUGAAAGCACAGGAAGCAGAAUCCGUAGCAGCCGCUGUGGAUGCCGGGACAAACGGAAGUGGGCCCCAUCCCAGCCACUGGCCCUCGGGCUCACUGCUAGUGAGACACGAGCCACUCAGAGGGAGAACCGAGUCAGCCAUAGGAAAAGCCAGAUGUGUCCGAGCACACACAGCUUAAACGUACGAGAUAGCAGCAUGUGUUUGUUUCUGAACAUGAGGUCGCACUGUCCACUAGUAAGUCAUGUCCCGCAGAUGCCAGGUGCUAGGAUUAUCCAUGCCUCCCCUAACCGAGGAGACAGACUAAGAAGUGCAGGGCUCUCUCCUAAUUUCCCUAUUUAUCCCGGGGAAGGGAUGAGCAGCUAGGUGUAAUAAUUACCACCCAGAACCACAAAACCCGGCAGACAGUCGUGGGCAGCGGUCUGGUCCCAAGUUAUUCUGCCACCAGUUGCAAUUUGACGCCCCCUGGUGGGCUUGUCUGUCCAGCUUAAUUAAAUCAGGAUGGGCUUCUGGGUCCAUGCAGGGAAUCUCCCCAUGCGCUGGCAUCUGUCCGUGAGCCGCUGGAGAUGGCCCAAGGUCACCUUCUUCCUCCCUGCCCCUUAGGCUGGCAGUUGGCUGCUGGCUCCGUCUGACCCUUGCCAGCACCUAAAUCAAGACGACAGCCUUAGCUUGCCCUGUUCCGGGAGGAAGGGGAAUGGAUUCAGUGUUUCCAGGUCUGUUCAGUGAUUUAAACCUUGGGCGGGGAUUUAGCUCAGUGGUUCCGCGCCUGCCUUGUAAGUGAGUUGAACCUUCUGGGUGGAGUAUCAGGGCGUCGGGAGAGACAGCUUAGCUGUGCUGAGUGAGUGCCCAGCGCGUGGACAGUGACCACCUUGGCAGAGAUGGAAACCUGUGCUGGGCUUUGUGUGGCCCUGGUCGGCGUGGACACACUCAGGACUACCACACACCGUCCAUGUUUCUGCACUGGUGACCACAAAGGCGCCAUUACAGGGGCCCGCGAAGCUGUGCGCCCUGAGCGUCAGCAGAGCUCAGUCAGGAGGCCGCGUCGGCUGCUUUCCUCUGGGCUCCGGAUCCCGCCCGUUCCUGUCAGCUCUGUGCAGUACUCAGACCCUGUGUGAGCGCGGUCCAGCUACCAGAGUCGGGCGGAGGCUGCAGCCAGCUCCGCAAGCCGCCAGCCAGGGUGAGCUCGUGGGUCCUGAGCUGACAGCUCCUGGCCCUGGCACAUCGUCCUGUCUCUCCCACUGCUGUCUUUCCUCGGGGGACCUGUGUGGCACAGCAGUGGCUGAAACAUCACAAGAUCUUUGUCUCUGUUGAUGAACUGUACAUUGCAUAACCUUCUGUCUCUUCUUUAAAAACGUGUCAGGAAACAGCACAUACCAGAGUGUGGGAGAUGGAAUGGGGCUGCAGCGGGGCUCCGUGGCACAGCGCUGGCCUCACCAUGCCUGGGCCCUGGCCUCCAUCCCCAGAGCUCAGAAAAGAGCACACAUGAGCAGCCUUUAGCUUAAGAAACAGAACAUUCCCAGGCGCCCGCACCCCUGCUCGUCUGACCCCAUCCAUGCCGUAGGAGUGUCUCCAUUUUAACCAGUGAUGUGCCACGAUACUGAUACAUAAAACCCACAGGAACAAUGGCUUUUGAGUGCCUCAGCAAUUUUUAAGAAUGUAAAGAGAUUCGGAGACCGAAAGCUUGAGAACCACUACUAUAAGAAGCUGGUUUUAGGGCCAGGGAUUUAGCUCAGUGGUUUCGACGCCUGCUGCGCAAGUGCAAGGACCCGAGUUUGAUCUCCGGUACCAAAAAAAAAAAAAGUGAGUUUUACUUGGUAAUGCCAACGUGUUUGCUAAAGUGCUUGUACCAGUUCCCACCCUGGUGGCAAUGGCUCAGAGUUCCCCAUGCCCCGUAUCUAGCACACACUUGCGCUUAGCUGUCUUUGACAUUUGCCAAUCAAAGCUAGGUGUGGUGGCACACACCUGUAAUCUCAACACUCAGGAGGCUGAGGCGGGAGGAUCGCCCUAAGUUUGAGCCCAGCCUGGGCUACACGGUGAGUUCAAGGCCAGCGUGAACUACAUAGCAAGACAGUGUCUCAAAAAACAAAACAAAACCUUUUGCCAAUUGGAUGGCUGUUAUAUAGUUUGCAGUUCCCUGUUUACGAGUGAAGUUGGUUUUUCACAUGAGCCCUCUUUUGUGAAAUUCCUAUUUAUGUGUCAUGCUCUUUUCCCCGUUAAGUUUUAUGUUUCUUUUUUCCUUAUUCAUUCAUGAUUUCUUUAUAUAUUCUGGAUAUCAGUCCUGUGUCAGCAUAACAUCUCACCCAUAUUUCCUCCCAGUUUAUGUGUUGUCUUUUGUACUUGUAUUGAAUACAUGAAUCAACUUGGAGAAACUUUACAUCUUUUCAGUAAUUGUGUCUUCCCGUGAAAAAGAGUAUGUAUCCCUCCGUUUACUAGCUCUUCUUAAUAUCUCUCAAUAAACAAUAAUUUUCUCUACAAAGGCUUUGAUGUCUUAUCUUAGAUUUCUUCACAGGAGUUGUGUAUUCUUAAUGCAAUCACCUAUUGAAUUUUUAAAAUUACAUUUCCUAUUCUGA